GUCGAGCGGAACGAUGAUAGCUUGCUAUCAGGCGUCGAGCGGCGGACGGGUGAGUAAUACUUAGGAAUCUACCUAGUAGUGGGGGAUAGCACGGGGAAACUCGUAUUAAUACCGCAUACGACCUACGGGAGAAAGGGGGCAGUUUACUGCUCUCGCUAUUAGAUGAGCCUAAGUCGGAUUAGCUAGAUGGUGGGGUAAAGGCCUACCAUGGCGACGAUCUGUAGCUGGUCUGAGAGGAUGAUCAGCCACACCGGGACUGAGACACGGCCCGGACUCCUACGGGAGGCAGCAGUGGGGAAUAUUGGACAAUGGGGGAAACCCUGAUCCAGCCAUGCCGCGUGUGUGAAGAAGGCCUUUUGGUUGUAAAGCACUUUAAGCAGUGAAGAAGACUCCGUGGUUAAUACCCACGGACGAUGACAUUAGCUGCAGAAUAAGCACCGGCUAACUCUGUGCCAGCAGCCGCGGUAAUACAGAGGGUGCAAGCGUUAAUCGGAAUUACUGGGCGUAAAGGGAGCGUAGGUGGCUCGAUAAGUCAGAUGUGAAAUCCCCGGGCUCAACCUGGGAACUGCAUCUGAUACUGUUGAGCUAGAGUAUGUGAGAGGAAGGUAGAAUUCCAGGUGUAGCGGUGAAAUGCGUAGAGAUCUGGAGGAAUACCGAUGGCGAAGGCAGCCUUCUGGCAUAAUACUGACACUGAGGCUCGAAAGCGUGGGUAGCAAACAGGAUUAGAUACCCUGGUAGUCCACGCCGUAAACGAUGUCUACUAGUCGUUGGGUCCCUUGAGGACUUAGUGACGCAGCUAACGCAAUAAGUAGACCGCCUGGGGAGUACGGCCGCAAGGUUAAAACUCAAAUGAAUUGACGGGGGCCCGCACAAGCGGUGGAGCAUGUGGUUUAAUUCGAUGCAACGCGAAGAACCUUACCUGGUCUUGACAUAUCUAGAAUCCUGCAGAGAUGCGGGAGUGCCUUCGGGAAUUAGAAUACAGGUGCUGCAUGGCUGUCGUCAGCUCGUGUCGUGAGAUGUUGGGUUAAGUCCCGCAACGAGCGCAACCCUUGUCCUUAGUUACCAGCGGGUUAAGCCGGGAACUCUAAGGAUACUGCCAGUGACAAACUGGAGGAAGGCGGGGACGACGUCAAGUCAUCAUGGCCCUUACGACCAGGGCUACACACGUGCUACAAUGGUAGGUACAGAGGGCAGCUACACAGCGAUGUGAUGCGAAUCUCAAAAAGCCUAUCGUAGUCCAGAUUGGAGUCUGCAACUCGACUCCAUGAAGUAGGAAUCGCUAGUAAUCGCGGAUCAGAAUGCCGCGGUGAAUACGUUCCCGGGCCUUGUACACACCGCCCGUCACACCAUGGGAGUUGAUUGCACCAGAAGUGGAUAGCUUAACCUUCGGGGAGG
rnacentral:rRNA from 2 species